rnacentral:lncRNA from 1 species
AUGCACCUCUCGGCCCGCCGGCUGGGAGGCACAGCCCGCACUCCCGCCCCAUUCCUCCCUUGCGUUGUCUCCUCAAGAAAGAAAGGCCAGAGUUCCACCAUUAAGGCUUCUCCAUCCUUUCCCCACACACAAAGUUCCUCCAAGUCGCCACGGUUCCAGAGGCAGGAGAGGGUUAGGCGGGGCCGCGCAGCGGGGGGGAGCACGGGCACGGACUGGGGAGCAGAGCGCGCCCCGCUCCAGCUCCGCGCGUGCACGCCCCCACGGGCGCGCACCCAACUCCCCACCCCCACCUGCUGCCCCCGAGGCUCCCGCCCAAUCAGAGGCCGCGCACGCGGCGUUGCCGGCGGUCAGACACCCCAGCUCCCCAGCCUGCGCCCCCGCGGGCCGGGUCUCGCCGCAGCAUCCCGCCCUGGCCACACUCACCGUCCCAGGCGCGCAGUCCGCGCGCGGCUCCGCUUCGGGGCCGCAUUCCCCUGCUCCGCUCCGCUCUGGUUCCCGCUCAGGCUCGGGGUCCCGCUCCGCAGGGCUCGGCUCCGAGAUGGUGGCAGCGGCAACGAGCGAGACAGGGAGGGCGUGUGUCUGUGUGUGUCUAUGUGUGUGUGUGUGCACGCGCGCGGCGUGUGCGUGUGCACGGGAGGGCCCCGCGCUCCCCUGCGCGCCCCGCUCCUGCCUCCUGCUCUCCACGCUGCGAUGCCAGCAGAAUCCCUAACGCGCGCUCCCACUCGCCUGGGCGCUCACACUCGCGCACACACGCGCACACUCGGUCGCGCACACACCCCCGCCGCCGCACACCCGGCUGCACACUCCCCACUCUCGCCCUCCUGGGGCUCUCACAAAGGCUCCCUGGCCCCGACCCGCCGGAGCCCCCGGAGCGCGGCCCGCUGGGCCUGCCGAGCGGCCCUGCGGCCCCUUCCGGGCUGGCCCCGCCUCAGGUCCCCCGCCGCUCCCAGAGGGGGUUCCUCAGGAGUCCCUGCUCCUCCACCACGCCCGGCCCGGCCGCAGCCACAUUCCUGGCCUGAACCCCGGCCGCGGCGCCCAACUCCGGCUACCGGCACUCCCACCCAGAGGCGCCGGCUCCUUGCCCCUCGCCUGCGCCGCCGCCCGCAGCCGCGUGCUCUCUCGCUCUUUUCCUUCCCCGUUUUCUGUCCCUGCCUCUCCUUUUAUCUCCUCUCCUUUCUCCCACCUGCCCCGAUCCCCGUCUGCAGUCUCUCAGUCUAUCUGCCGCCGCCCUCUCCCGCGCCCCCUCCUCCCGCCGCUCUGCGCUGCCUCUCACAUCCUCCGCAUUGCAUUGGGUGCCGCCCGGCGCUCGCUGGGCCCAGGGUUCGAGCGCGCAGUGGGCGGCGAGGGGACCCGCCGCGCCCUGGCCCCGCCGCCCCCUCCGCUCUCAGCUCGCUCCGCUGCUCCUCGCUCCGGCCCGACGGGCGGCGACGUCCCGCGCUAGCCUCGGCGGUCGCUGACAGCUCCCAUCUCGCCCGAGCUUAA